rnacentral:rRNA from 1 species
UACGAAGGGGGGCUAGCGUUGUUCGGAAUCACUGGGCGUAAAGGGCGCGUAGGCGGCCGAUCAAGUCGGGGGUGAAAGCCUGUGGCUCAACCACAGAAUUGCCUUCGAUACUGUUUGGCUUGAGACCGGAAGAGGUUAGUGGAACUGCGAGUGUAGAGGUGAAAUUCGUAGAUAUUCGCAAGAACACCAGUGGCGAAGGCGGCUCACUGGCCCGAUACUGACGCUGAGGCGCGAAAGCGUGGGGAGCAAACAGG